UGGAUCAGCUUACCAGUGCCGGACUUUAUGGAGCUUCUCCCCUCACUCAGCCUGACACCUGAGCAGUAUUUAAGGCCCGGGGCUCUUGCAAUCUCACUACGUGCUCAGCAUAGCCCGUGCUACUUUUAACUUUUUGUUCCGAGUAGCUGAAUCUAAAACAACAUUGCAGCCUCACUGCAACCUCACCAGUCGCAUCCUCCCCAAGUCUCAAGUUAGGACCAAGAAGGUACUGCAGGUGGUAGCAUGUGAACGCAACACAAGGACCAACGCUCACAUAAAACUACGUUACUCUGAGAGGUUGGAUCCGAAUAUUUGGUCUGUUCAACGGAACGUAUCAUGAGCAAAGAGAUGGGGUACCCGGCGGUGCCCGGGUCGACACCACAAGGUUGCGCCAUUUAAGUGUUGGGUGCCCAAGUACACCUGGGCACCAAAAGAUUUUACCAUGGGGGCUCACCCCGAUUCCAUUAUAUGUGUAUUCCAUUUUUUUGUAUUAACAUAUUUAGGUACAUCUGCAUUUGUGCAGUCUAGCACUACCCUAGACUAGUCUAGCAACCCUAGACUAUAUGAAGGGGAGUACAGAGUGUCAGAAAGCUAGCUACGUGAUGCUAAAAUCCCUAUCACACAGGAUGGUUAGUGAUACACAUUCCUGCCUCUGAUAAGUAAUGUAAGUAGUUCUUACACACACUACUUCAAAUCACUCUUUGUGAUAAGUAGUCUGCGCUGGCAAACUCUGGGUGCAUUAUGAGGAUAUGAUCAUGAACACAAGAGUGAAUAUGGUAGCACUGAUACUAAGGCCCCAUCUCGCAGGAUGUAUAUUUCAAGGUAGCUCUAAUUAGUGAUACAAUUCUAGGGAUUCAGCUAGCCACGUUUCAUCUAUAAA